AGUCUGUUUAUUUUUCCACACAGCAUCAAAUGAAUGGUGAUUGUGGACAGGGAGGUCUAUAAAAACGUAUUUCAGAUUCAGCUAUUCAGAGGGAGGGAGAGAGAGAGAGUGAGAGGGAGAGAGAUUAAUGCAUAUUAAUGUCACUGUGUAGUUUUACACUUUUGCAAUACAUGUUCUGUUGUCAUGCAAAUAAAGCAUGGAUGAAUUUGAGAGAGAGGGAGAGAAGGGGGGUGGUUGAGGGGAGAGAGGGAAACAGAGGCACAUUUCAUAAAAAGGAGUCCUACACGGCUUCAGCUUUUCCUCCAGUGGUUGAUUAUUGAAGGUGACAGUGAAGUUGUCUUUUGACAUUAUUCUGUCAUAGCGCCUUCCUAGCACAUCGAUCAAAAAAUACUUAUCUCACUGGCACAGAGAAGAGGGGGCACUGCCUACACACACAAACACACACACACACAGGCUCAGAACGUAGAAUGAAAAUGCAGAAGGAUAAGAUUCCGUGUCCUCAGAUUACGGCUGGAUACAUAUUUAUGAGAAUCUGAGAGUCCCAGCUGAGGAUAUCUAUCAAGUCUUCUCUCAACAAGGGCCUGUAUGUUUUUACACUGAGAAUAGAAUAAUUUAAACCUUGAAGUAGAAUACCUCUGCAGAUUUGUGUGAGAUGGAUAAAUUAAAAAAAACAACCCUCCUCUCAUUCAUGGAUUAAAAUUUAUUUUGGAUUGGAUUGAAAAGGAACAAAAUCACACACACAGACCAAGAUCUUUUUAGUUUGUGAAGUUUUAAUUAACAGCUGUAAAAACUGCCAUCCAUUCAGGUAUUUAGCUAGGAAAAUGACUAUUUCCUUGCGUUAUGUAACAACACUUUUUGCCAGUGUGAUUGAUGCACUGUACUGCAUAGCAACAGCACGAAGCAUGACUCAAUAGAAAGGAAAACAGUGUGUUGCUGUGUAAUUAUUGGAUAUAUCAGAUUUUAGAUUCUGAUUUAGAGUUCUGAGAAUAAUUAGUCAGCCAUGCCAUUUUAAUAUUGAAAAAGUUUCUAUGUGGAAUUGAAGUUCUUGAAUAUAUGUGCAUAAACUUACAACAGCCCCCCUUGAAGACUGAUAAUUGAAAGAUAGAAGCUUGCAGUACAUCUUGCCAUGGAAGCUGUUAUUCCAAAUCAUGUUUCCCUGUUGAAUGGUGGUUGGCUUCAGGGUUUCCAGGCUGUAUAUUUGUUCCCCAAUAUAGGGGAGUUUGAAAAAUUCAUAAGUAAAACUUAAUGGGAGACACUGAUAGAUUGAGGAUUUAAAAACAGGUAUAUGGUGAAAAUGUCAUUAAAUUUUGUAUGGGAGCCAAUGGAAAACUGAGGAUUAUUUUAGUGGAAGAAAUUCCCAAGCAUGUGGCAACAGCUGGUUGGUCUAAUGGGAAGCAAGGCCCCAUGGGACCUGUAGUCCACAAAGUAGACUAUAAGCAGUUACUUAUUUAGUAUCACUCACAGUGAUGCUCUCUACUCCUUUUGGUCUGUGUAAGAGCCAUUCCUUUUGAUCAAAUGAAGCCAUUGGAAAAAGCAUCCUCCAAACCCCCAGGGGGCGAUCUUUCACAUGUGCCACACUUGAACAACUGCAGCUGCGUUUCUCAUGAGUUAAAAAAAAAAUCAAUAAACAGAAAAGAGGAGUCCACAGAGGUUUCUGGGAAAUAAAUAAAAAAUGGCGGUUUUCCAUAAGCCCUCCCUGGGGGGUACAGAGUCUCAAGGCUGACCCAUCUGCCCCCCCGCCCCCCACACACAAGCCCCUCGGGUUGUUUGUGUUUGUACGUUUGUCUGCGUUACUAUAUUUUGCAUUCACUGCAUGAGAGAAUCAUCAUAAGUUUUAAGUUCGUUUAAGUUCAUGCCUUUGCAAUGUGGAUUCCUUUCUAAUUUGGUUGACCCACUAUAGAUCGACUCCUUGACCAAUAAACGGCAGGUGAUUCUCCAUUUAGGAAGUCGACGGGAAGAAUGCCUAAUGUAAAGCACGCCCAAUGGCUGUCUUUGACAUGCACCGCCAUCUCAGAUGCGUGGGCUGAGCCAGGAUUUUCGAGGUCUGAAGCGCACAUUUGGCGUGCGCGUCGAACGAGGAAUCGUGAAAAAUGUACAUUUGUGCACAGAUGGCGUCCAUUGAGGGAUCGCAGCUCUGAUGAAUAAUAAUAGAGACUCUUUUCUGGCCAUCUUGUAGAUUCUGGCAUGUUCUGCGAAGUGUGUUCCUUGCAACAUGGAGUGUGCCAGGGCCUGCUGCCUUAAGCUAGGGGACUGGGGAUUCUGUUACCCCAGCGGAUACUUACCCCUCUCUUUGACACAGAGUCAUGUCUCCCUAUCGUUGAAACUGGAACAUUCCUGUACUGUGGUGUGGCAAUGCCGUGGCAAACGGGUGGUCUGUUCUGUGAAAUAUCACAGAGAAAACGUCCUUGACCAAUCAGAAGCCUCCUGUAGUUGAAAAGCAGCAGGAGGAGGGAAGGAGCACGGGAGCUGAGCGUCUGGUGCGUCUGUAGGAUCUGUGGUGACGCUAAAAGAUGAAGUUACAAAUGUGUUUCCUCCUCCCAGUACAAGUAUUCUUCAUACUUCAAAACGUACAAUCUAUUUAAUCUGAAAUGCCCUUGAUCCGGGGUACAACAGCAGUGCCCCAUCUGGGAAUCGAAACGGCAACCUCUGGAUUUCAAGCCCAGUUGCCUAAUUGCUGCACUACACUGCUGCCUGUGCUGUGGUUUAGAUUUUGAAGACAGAGUGGCUCAGGUGGGCUGUGCUCUUGUCUGAGUCAAUCUGUUGAUUUCCACAUAAUUCACUAGUUAGCCAGCAACUUUUCGUUCUUUCUUUGUUUUGGGUCAUGUUAUGUUUCGGGAUUGCCUGUAAUGUUUCUAUGGUGACGGUGUACCUCUGUUGGUGCAGUUUCCACAUAAGCUGUACUGUAUGUUUGCCCAGAAAUACCAGGCUCAUUUCUCUCUUUCAAUGACAGAAACUACUUUGCUCUCAAAGAAUCUCUUGUUUGUUACCCAGUUUUUAAUUGUGUGCUUUCAUUAAAUAUGUACAUUAGCAGUCAGAACCAAUUUGUCAUAAUUGCCUCUGCUUGAUCAGAAAACCUGCUCAUCAAACAAUGCACUAUACCAUUCAUGCAGAUUAUCGGUUUAAAACAGGGAUCUGAGAUUCAAAAGCUGGAGAGCUGCAGUGUUUGCUGAAUUUCAGCAGUUGAGUACUUAAUUGGAAUCAUUGACUGGCACACGCUGUGCACGUUUGACACAAUUCUGCAAUUAAAAUUCAAAGAAGAAAACACCACCCUGUCACAAUUUUUACCACAGUACAUUUUUUUCCCCCCCUCAUAGAAUUUUCACUCAAGGCUUAAAAUAUGUAGUAUGCUGCUACAUCCAAAAUGCAAAACUGGGAGUUUGGAGGUAAGGAAAGGUUCAUAUUUGGGUCAAAAGACUUUAGUCAGUGUGAGUGUGAUUUUCUGUCUUUAUGUGGUGGCCUGCUUGACUAGUGGUGUACAGGGAGUGUGUACAGAGCGUGUUCAGUUCAUUCAAUUCCGUUCAAUCUCCAAUAAUGUCAUUGAAUAUUCAUGGCUUUUGUGAAUGGCCAAUAAAUUACAUCGAGAGACUUUGUCAGCUCCACCCCAGGGAGAGCAUCAGGCUUUCAUUUACCGAUUGCAGAGUGCUGAGCAGGGAAGGAUCGAUCCCGCGGCGCGCUACAUGCUAUACAUGCUAACGCAGUCGGCCGUCCCGUCCCUGAUCUCUCUUAGCGGUGGGGUUUCCAUUUAUUCAGCGGCGUUGCAUCAUUUAGGGUUGGUUUCUGAUCGGAAUAUCCGGCUUUGAAAUUAUUUGUACCGGUCUGGUUUGUGGGCCCGACUGAACAAUAGAAUGUGCGGGCUGAGGAAAUUGAUUUUUUUUAAAUUAGCCAUUAGUUUUUAGUGAAUUCGCAUCUGAACCACCCUCAGUCUGUGAUCCAUUCCUACGACCCAUUGUACGGCUCCAAAAUACGAUUGCACUACCAGCAGUGUAUGUUGUCAGGUUUUGAGAAGAUUCUAAAUCUGGCAACACUACCAUAACAUCGUUGCAGGGUAUCUGCGUGAGAUCAUUUCCCCACACAAACCUGCCCUGAUACAAGUGUUGUUCCCAUAUCGCACCUGAGGAAGACCAAGAAUGAUAUGCUGAGCGCACCCUCUUAUCUUCGGAUAACACUGAAUGCUACACAGUGCUCAUCCCCUCCUUUCUGUAGAACUUCAUUUAUUAUUCAGUUCGGGUUCUUAUCAGGAUUACAAAAACAUGGAAUUUCUCUCCUUCUUGCAUUUCAGAAAUUGGUGGAUUUGCCGGAUUUGCUCAGAACGUAUUUUUCAUUAAUUUGCCUAAUGGUGUUUGCGAUUUGUGGGACACGCUGCAGAUAAGACUGAGGAUUUGGCCUUCUUUGUGUAGGUUAAAUCUCUCAUUUUACUCACUUUGGUAGAACGUCUUGCCGUUUUUUAAUUUUUACUUGCGACAGAUACGCGGGCUUGGUUGAUGAGUUGUCUGUUGCCUUGGACACGGUCUAACAGUCUUAUACCUGUGUUCUCAGACCUGAGGUUUUAGGGUGGUUCAUGGGAUGACUAUAUCAAGCAUUACAUGAGCUUAGCAUAUGCUAAAAAAAAAACACAAAAACAAAGUUGAUUUGACAAAUGGGGGGAAAAAAUCAUGUUUGAACAGAUGUUAAGCUCCAUUUUAAUAAGAGAUCUGGGUCACAGGAAGAGCAUUUGCUCAUGAAGUGGGUUGUGGGCUCGGAAAGUUUGGAAACCUCUUUUGUACAUCAUGCAAAAUGUUUCACUUUUGACCCUGGAGAGAGAAAUAUCUCAUUCCUGAUUAAUCUCCCUUUUGUCCACUUGGUAUCCAUAGUGAUGCCUUGGUUAUCAUAAGCAUGGCUGUUCAUAUUUUCUGUCCAACACAAAUAAAACUGGUCACCCGAGAAGCGGCUUAUCUUGUGCAUGUUCCUUUAUAUUUUUUCUGUUAAAAUAAAAUAAAAAUGAAAUUUUAUCCCCAGAUGAUGAACAUCGCUUUCUAGCUUGGCAUAGCAUGGCAGUCAGCAAGGUGGCUGUCAAUUAUUCAGUCGGUAGGGCUGAGUUGAUUUAGCCGUCUGCUGCAGGUAACGCAUUUUACGCCAGAUCUUUUUGACUUGAACAUGUACAGCACACUGCCUCAAUCUUCCUUUUCACCAGAAUCUUUCUAGUGCGCAGUACGGUUACGGUUAGCGAAGGUUAGUAAAUCAUGCCAGCGUUUAUAGAUUUGUGCCUUGUUCAGUAAAAUGAAUGGAUUUCUUGUGAAAAACCCCCUCAGUUCUAUAAGAUAUCCUUUACUUUUGAAUACGACGCAUUUCUUUUAAAAUGCUCUUGAUGUUUAAAGAAAAACCAAGUGAAGCGGAACAAGGUUUAUCUUGUCAAUGAUGAUGGCCUUUUGAUAAUUACACACCAGCUGCUAGUCAGACACGCUCAGCUCUGCAUUUUAUUUUGAGGAACAAAUUUAAACGAGAUGCGUCUUUCUUUUCGUUUCUUCACAAGCUUUUAUUAGUUGAACCGACGACUGAAGUGAAAGAUGAGAAAGGAGAGUUUCAACCCAGAAUCCUGGAGCCAAAAUGGACUCCAGGAGCCAAAAUGGAUGACUGCACCUGCGGAGAGGCCACUACUCUCCAUAACGAUAGUGAUUCUGCCAAAAGGAAAUACCUUUUUCUGUUCGGUUGCUGCCUUGACAUCGGCCCUGCUUCUGGCCGCAGUGCGGAUCAAUGAGAAAUCAGUGUUCAUUCAUUCAUUUGUUCCUCACGCUGCUUUAAAAAAGAGAGAGGGGAGGGAGUGCAGCUGGAGAAGAAUAGAUUCUGGAACAGUCGCAGCUGUCCGCAAUCUAGAAUAUUCCCCAAGCACCGGUUGUUUUUAAUGGUUUUUUAAAGUGUUUUCCCAUGGUGCUGUUGACCAUGCCUGCCCUGCUUUGUGUGUUCAUUCAUAUGUGUUAUCUGUGCCGACCCUACAACAGCCUUUUUCCUUAAAGACACAGUGCGGACCAAAUAACAUAUAUUGCAAUAUAUUGAAAUAAAAUAUGAUGCAGCAGUAUAUGUACUGCAUCACUUUACAAUAUAUGGGAAAAUAAAAUCUUCACUUUCAGAUAUUGCAAUAUGUUUUUGAAAAAUAUCGUUGUCACUAUCUAUUUACAAUAUAUUGGAAUACGUUUCAUUUUGGUAAGACUAAUGCCAAAAAUUUGGCAUGUGGAACAUUUAUCGCACAGUAUAUCCUGACAUGUUUUAGCAAAAUAUUUUUCAUUGUUUUCUGUUACCACUUUGCUGGUUUUUAAGGGGCCACUUUAAAAUGCGAUGGACAGCCCACCAUGGUUCGAGCAUGAUGAAGAACGCCCCCCCCUUCCACACACUCACACAUGCCCCAGCCCUUCCCCCGUGGUCAAGAGCGGUUGAUUCCGUUAAAAUGCGCGUUGUCCUCCAGGAGCUGACUUCAGCACGAUGGUCUUGCCGUGUGUCAUGGAGCAGCAGUAGCAGCUGUUUGGGAUUCACACGUGGCGAAGGAGCUCUAAUGAACACCAGAACCAAAACAGCGCAGAAAAGGGAAGAAUUAAGAAAAACUUGAGCAUGAGUUGUAGCGCUGUGUGAGCGUGAGCGUGCGCAUGUAUGCGUAUGUGAGUUAGUCUGUGUGUGUGUACGUGCGUGCAUGUGUGUGUUUGUGUGUGCGAGCACGUAUGUGUGUAUUUCCAUCCAUCUAUACCCACUGUUCCGUUAGGGUCAUAGGAGAUGCUGGAGCCUAUCCCGGCAUGCAUUGUGAGAGGCAGGAAUACACCCUGGACAGGUCGCCAAUCUAUCUCAGUGUGGCGUAUGUUUAUUUGUGUGCGCGUGUGCGCAUUUGUGUAUUUGUGCAG